rfam:Ovis aries breed Texel chromosome 18, whole genome shotgun sequence.
UCCCUGGUGGUCCAGUGGUUAGGACUCAGCACUCUUACUGCAGGGGCCCCAGGUUCUAUCCCUGGUCAGGAAA